CCUACGGGAGGCAGCAGUGAGGAAUAUUGGUCAAUGGACGAGAGUCUGAACCAGCCAAGUAGCGUGAAGGAUGACUGCUCUCUGGGUUGUAAACUUCUUUUAUAUGGGAAUAAAAUGUUCCACGUGUGGGAUUUUGUAUGUAUCACAUCAUUCCGGCUCGGCUAACGCCGCGCCAGCAGCCGCGGUAAUACGGAGGGUCUGAGCGUUAUCCGGAUUUAGUGGGUGUAAAGGGAGCGUAGGUGGAUUGUUAAGUCAGUUGUGAAAGUUGGCGUCUCAACCGUAAAACUGCAGUUGAAACUGGCAGUCUUGAGUACAGGAGAGGUAGGCGGAAUUCGUGGUGUAGCGGUGAAAUGCGUAGAUAUCACGAAGAACUCCGAUGGCGAAGGCAGUUCACUGGACUGUAACGGACGCUGAGGCUCGAAAGUGUGGGUAUCAAACAGGAUUAGAUACCCCAGUAGUC
rnacentral:rRNA from 1 species